GGUUCAAGACCUUCGGCGUACUGCUCAGUAAACACGUGGACAAUUCUGCCUUGAAGUGGAGAAUAAUCCCCGGGAAACUGGGGGUAAUACUCCAUAGUUCGUUAAUACUGGAAUGUUUUUCGAACGAAAGAUCCGUCGCUUCAGGAUGAGUCUGCGGCCGAUUAGGUAGUUGUUGGGGUAGUUGCCCAACAAGCCUGUAAUCGGUACGGGUUGUGGGAGCAAGAGCCCGGAGAUGGAUUCUGAGACACGAAUCCAGGCCCUACGGGGCGCAGCAGGCGCGAAAACUUUACCAUGCGGGCAACCGUGAUAAGGAAACCCCGAGUGCCAGCACAGGCUGGCUGUCCGCCAGUUUAAACAACUGGCGAAGAAAGGGCCGGGCAAGACCGGUGCCAGCCGCCGCGGUAAUACCGGCGGCUCGAGUGGUGGCCGCUAUUACUGGGCUUAAAGGGUCCGUAGCUUGAUAAUAGGGUCCCUUGAGAAAUCCGCCGGCUUAACUGGCGGGCGUUCAGGGGAAACUUGUUUUCUAGGGACCGGGAGAGGUGAGGGGUACUGCCGGGGUAGGAGUGAAAUCCUGUAAUCCCGGUGGGACCACCUAUGGCGAAGGCAUCUCACCAGAACGGGUCCGACAGUGAGGGACGAAAGCUGGGGGAGCAAACCGGAUUAGAUACCCGGGUAGUCCCAGCUGUAAACUAUGUGCGUUAGGUGUGUCAGUGACCACGUGUCACUGAGGUGCCGAAGGGAAACCGUGAAACGCACCGCCUGGGGAGUACGGUCGCAAGGCUGAAACUUAAAGGAAUUGGCGGGGGAGCA
rnacentral:rRNA from 1 species